rnacentral:misc_RNA from 1 species
GUGAGGUAAUGAGUCUUAUUAAUUACUGUGAGUAUGUUAAAGAAUUGAUGGAGAAUUUAAAAUUUUUAUACUCCGACAAAGGCAAUAUUUCUCUCAUAUACGAUGUUUUCAAAGCAUUUUAUUGACUUAAAAAACAAGGUAAGACUCUUAUAGCAUAUUUUAUGAAAUUUAAACAUAUUUAUGAAGAGCUUAAUGUUCUGUUACCACUCAGUCCUGAUAUAAAGGUGCAACAAGCUCAACGUGUGCAAAUGGUUGUUAUGAGUUUUCUUGCUA